UGGACUUUAUUCGCGCAGUAUAGGUGGGAGGCGUUGAUUAUAAUCUUGUGGGAUUAUUGGAGCCAUCAGUGUGAUACCACUCUUGUAAUGUUAGAUUUCUAACUUUGAAUCAUUAUCUGGUCAAAGAACAGUUUCAGGCGGGCAGUUUGACUGGGGCGGUCGCCUCCCAAACGGUAACGGAGGCGUACAAAGGUUUCCUCUGAACGGGUAGAAAUCGUAUCUAGAGUGUAAAGGCAUAAGGAAGCUUGACUGUGAGACCUACAAGUCGAGCAGGGACGAAAGUCGGUCUUAGUGAUCUGACGGUACUGAGUGGAAAGGCCGUCACUCAACGGAUAAAAGUUACUCUAGGGAUAAC
rnacentral:rRNA from 1 species